UUUCGACGUAGGUAUAAGACGGGGUUGAGUGACGAAAUUGUGUUCGCAUAGUUUUCGCACCCCCUGUUUUAUUUAACCGACGACGAACGCGUGCACUUUUCUCCUGGUAGGACGUCGCAAUCCGUUGGGUGUCGGUCUACGGUUCGCGGUGGAGCCCGUUCUGACAAAUCCAUUGAUGAGCGGACCCGUGUUAUUCCUGACCGACUCGCUCGACGGUAUACAAAUGGUAUGUGGCCGCUUGAUUUAAAGCUUUCGACUCGUGGCAAGCGCACUCGAUGCGUUGGCGGUCGGACCUAGUGCCGAUCCUGACCUCUGGUGACUGUUGGCCACGAUGUUCUCGGAAAGAGCCGAUUACCGAUUUGCGACGCUAUAGCUUUGGGUACUUUCAGGACCCGUCUUGAAACACGGACCAAGGAGUCUAGCAUGUACGCAAGUCAUUGGGAAUCACUAAACCUAAAGGCGCAAUGAAAGUAAAGGUCUUCCUUGCGAGGACCUAGGGAAGAUGUGCGGUUAACCGUUAAAAGUUGCCGCGCCGCAUUCCCGGGGCGUCUCAUUCUCA
rnacentral:rRNA from 1 species